UGUCAUAUGCUGUUUAUGCAGUUUAUUUUGCUAAAGAUAUGAAGCUUGUGAAGUAGUAUUAAUUGUAAUGUAAAAUGCAAGCUGGGAUAUGGGAUGAGCUUCCAUUGAGAUGGGAUGAGCUUCCAUUGAGACAUAAGAAAACAAGAAAGGAAAAAGUUCAAGAAAGGCACUUUUAGUAUUCUUGUUUUUGUUUCUUCUUUUUCUUUAUUUUUGCUUUUAGGCAAAUCUUCCUCCUUAAUCCUUUUUCUUGAUUUGUUUUUGGAGGGAGGCCCUAAACUUUAUUACCCAUUUUUGGUGAUCAUUUUGGAAUUUUUGUUGCUUAAGCCUUGUGUACUGAUCUCUUGUACUCCAUCCAUGUAUCCUGAAAAAAAG
rnacentral:lncRNA from 1 species